GAUUAACGCUAGCGGCAGGCCUAACACAUGCAAGUCGAGGGGUAACAGGUGUAGCAAUACAUGCUGACGACCGGCGCACGGGUGAGUAACGCGUAUGCAACCUACCUUUAACAGGAAGAUAGCCCCGAGAAAUCGGGAUCAAUACUCCAUAAUGAUUAAUAACCGCAUGGUUUUUAAUUUAAAGUUCCGACGGUUAAAGAUGGGCAUGCGUGACAUUAGUUAGUUGGUGAGGUAACGGCUCACCAAGACCACGAUGUCUAGGGGUUCUGAGAGGAUUAUCCCCCACACUGGUACUGAGACACGGACCAGACUCCUACGGGAGGCAGCAGUGAGGAAUAUUGGUCAAUGGUCGCAAGACUGAACCAGCCAUGCCGCGUGCAGGAUGAAUGUUCUAUGAAUUGUAAACUGCUUUUCUAAGGGAAGAAACCUAUCUACGUGUAGGUAGUUGCCGGUACCUUAGGAAUAAGCAUCGGCUAACUCCGUGCCAGCCGCCGCCGUAACAC
rnacentral:rRNA from 1 species